rfam:Schistosoma haematobium scaffold67_5, whole genome shotgun sequence.
AUCCAGCUGACGAGUCCCAAAUAGAACGAAACACGUGUCGUGGAU